GACGAACGCUGGCGGCGUGCCUAAUACAUGCGAGUUGAGCGCUGAAGGUUGGUACUUGUACCAACUGGAUGAGCAGCGAACGGGUGAGUAACGCGUGGGGAAUCUGCCUUUGAGCGGGGGACAACAUUUGGAAACGAAUGCUAAUACCGCAUAAAAACUUUAAACACAAGUUUUAAGUUUGAAAGAUGCAAUUGCAUCACUCAAAGAUGAUCCCGCGUUGUAUUAGCUAGUUGGUAAGGUAAAGGCUCACCAAGGCGAUGAUACAUAGCCGACCUGAGAGGGUGAUCGGCCACAUUGGGACUGAGACACGGCCCAAACUCCUACGGGAGGCAGCAGUAGGGAAUCUUCGGCAAUGGACGAAAGUCUGACCGAGCAACGCCGCGUGAGUGAAGAAGGUUUUCGGAUCGUAAAACUCUGUUGGUAGAGAAGAACGUUGGUGAGAGUGGAAAGCUCAUCAAGUGACGGUAACUACCCAGAAAGGGACGGCUAACUACGUG
rnacentral:rRNA from 1 species